GCCGUGUCGGUUCGAUAGGGAUACUCAUCAAAUUAAACGUGAAAACCGGAUUGUCACCUCUUGCCAAUGGCGGGCCACAAGCAGUGCCCUCGGGCAAUGCCAAGCCGCAAGGCCGGUGGAUUACAACGGCGGAGAACGUCCACAUCUUUUAACAAAGGAGUUUUCAUCACAUCACCGCACGGCCCUUUU
rnacentral:sRNA from 1 species